rnacentral:rRNA from 1 species
GUCGAACGCUGGCGGCGUGCUUAACACAUGCAAGUCGAACGAAGUGGCGAACGGGUGAGUAACGCGUAAUCAACCUGCCCUUCAGAGGGGGACAACAGUUGGAAACGACUGCUAAUACCGCAUACUGAAGGAGGGGAUUGCGUCUGAUUAGCUAGUUGGAGGGGUAACGGCCCACCAAGGCGAUGAUCAGUAGCCGGGGCGAGAGGAUGAACGGCAAAAUUGGGACGGGGAAACGGACCAGACUCCUACGGGAGUCAGCAGUGGGGAAUCAUCCGAAAUGGACGAAAGUCUGACGGAGCAAGGCGGCGUGAGUGAGGACGGCCUUCGGGUUGGAAAGCUCUGUUAAGCGGGACGCGGUACCGGAAUAGAAAGCAACGGCUAACUACGUGCCAGCAGCCGCGGUAAUAC